AUCCGCCUUUAAACUUAAUACCGCCAAACUAAUACGGAGUAAACCUAAAAUGGCUUCACAGAUACAGCUCAAUUAUUUGGUAUUUCAAAUUUGCACGGAAAUGUUGUGUUGCUGUGAAUUGUACUUUAUCGGUGUCCGCUCCAAGAGAACUCUAUAAAAACAAACAAUAGCAUAUAAUAAUGCGUUAAACGUCUCGUGGGAUGUAAAUCUCAGUGGAAACAAAUUCAAUAAGAAUUCGGAGAAAUCAAAAUAUGAGGAAGGAACAACCAACCCAUGAAAAAUGUCAACAUUAAACGGUCAAUUUGUAGAAGACUUUCUCAAGACCCCAACUCGUGAAUUUUAAACAAAAUUGAGACAUCUUUAAUCAUCAAGUGCUGGAUUCUUAAAUAUUUUGGGGUCUCAAAUCGUGGAUUUUGACAUAGUUUCUCGGAUUUUAAAGAACAUUGCCGAGCCCAAAUUAAAUGAAAAUACCUAUUUCAGUGUCUUCAAGGAUUCAAGUCAGAGGAAUUUAAGGAAAAGCAAACAAUCCAUAAAUAAAGACGAUACAUUCGCCUAUUAAAUUUUCUAAAUUUACCGGAGAACAAAAUUAUUGGAGCUUAAUUUUGGGCUUAAAUUAUGAAAAUAAAUUGAUCCUAUAAGUUGCAUUA